UUAACGCGGCUAUGAAUGACAUGUAAAUGAUUAGUCUUUUUGCCCUCCAGCGUUGUAUGCUUGCACGAAAUUUCCGUAGGUCCAAUAACAUGGAUGGUGUCUAAGUCAUAAGUCAGUGCCUCACCAGCAAAGAACCUCACCGCACGUCACUAGUGUUGAAUGUGUAUGAAAA